rnacentral:rRNA from 1 species
GACGAACGCUGGCGGCGUGCCUAAUACAUGCAAGUAGAACGCACAGUUUAUACCGUAGCUUGCUACACCAUAGACUGUGAGUUGCGAACGGGUGAGUAACGCGUAGGUAACCUGCCUGGUAGCGGGGGAUAACUAUUGGAAACGAUAGCUAAUACCGCAUAAUAUUGAUUAUUGCAUGAUAAUUGAUUGAAAGAUGCUAUUGCAUCACUACCAGAUGAACCUGCGUUGUAUUAGCUAGUAGGUGAGGUAACGGCUCACCUAGGCGACGAUACAUAGCCGACCUGAGAGGGUGAUCGGCCACACUGGGACUGAGACACGGCCCAGACUCCUACGGGAGGCAGCAGUAGGGAAUCUUCGGCAAUGGACGAAAGUCUGACCGAGCAACGCCGCGUGAGUGAAGAAGGUUUUCGGAUCGUAAAGCUCUGUUGUAAGAGAAGAACGGGUGUGAGAGUGGAAAGUUCACACUGUGACGGUAUCUUACCAGAAAGGGACGGCUAACUACGUG